rnacentral:rRNA from 1 species
UACGUAGGGAGCAAGCGUUUGUCCGGAAUCAUUGGGCGUAAAGCGCGCGUAGGCGGCCCUGUAAGUCCGUUGUGAAAGUCAAAGGCUCAACCUUUGAAAGCCGAUGGAUACUGCAGGGCUAGAGUCCGGAAGAGGCGAGUGGAAUUCCUGGUGUAGCGGUGAAAUGCGUAGAUAUCGUAAGGAAGACCAGUGGCGAAGGCGGGUCUCUGGACAGUUCCUGACGCUGAGGCACGAAGGUCAGGGGAGCAAACGGG